rnacentral:lncRNA from 1 species
AUUAUUAUCACAUGCUUCGAUUGUUAUCACAUGCCUUUCCGUAACGUUAUCACAUGGGAUUCCGGUGAUACUCGACAAAUUCCGGAAAAUACACCUCAAUGCUACGUUUUCAGUGAAAAAAACAUUACAAAGUAGUGUACAUUACAAUUAUUUGAAUACUGGAAAAGUAUAUUGGUGUAAAAUAAUACUAAAAAAAAAAACAACAAAAAAAAACAAAAAAAUAUUAAAUAAAUGCAUUUUUUUUUAAAGUUUCACUGAAACAUAAUUUAGAAAGUUUCUUUAAAAUAAAAAUUCCAAACAAUUAAUGUUCAUUAUGCAUAUUGUUGAAUUAUUUUUUUGUCGAUUCGUCCAUAUUAAAAUGUUAUUUUUUUCUCUAUUGAGGCAUAUGAUAGAAAGAUUUCAUAUCGAAAUGUAUAAAAUUUUUGGUCUGACGUCCGUGAACUUUUCACUCUUUGAACUUCUGUUUGGGAACCACGUAAAAGGAUCAAUCCAUGAAUCUGUUAUUUUUCUACAUUGUUGAAGUAUAUGAUAAAAAGACCAUAACAUGUCAUUUUUCAUAUCGCAUGUAUUAUCAACCAUAGGUCAAUAUCAGCCCUCGAGCCAUGGCGGCUCUUGGGCUGAUAUUGAACUUAGGGCUGAUAAUACAUGCGAUAUGAAAAAUGCCAUGUAAUAAUCUGAUAUUAUUUUUUUAUUUAGUAUUACCAAUAUUCUUUAUUCUUUAUAUUUUAGCACCCCUUUAUACUUUUUUUCUUUUUUUCUUUUUUGCAUUUCAUUCUGCAAUUUUUUGCCCAUUAUUCUAUAUUCCGUAAACCCCAAUCAGACCCUCUUUUAUGGAACAUUUUAAAAUGAAAUUAUACUUUGUAAAAAAUAUGAUACAUGAAUGUUCAUUAUCAAUAUACAUAUCUAAAACAAUUACUAAUUCAGACAAAAAUACAUUGUAAGUACAUGAACGCAAAAAUGGUAAAAACUUAAAAAUAGAAAUCAUCAGGGUUACUGUCUACAAGUCGACGCAAUAAAAGAUGUGAUUGAAGCUAUAUUUUUUUAUGCCCCCACCCCCCCCUUCCUCAACUACCCUUGUACGUCUGUCCGCCCGUCAUUCCGUCUGGCCGCCAGUCCUUCCGUCCGUCCGUCCCCCUUUAUAGUUAUUCGGCAAAACAUCUACAGUUUGAAUCCUAGAACGUUUUCACAGUAAAUUACGCAGACAAACUGACAUCUUUGUUAAUAUCUUUUUUGUUCUGUAUAAAAUUUAUUGUAUACAAGUCUACAAAAACGUUUUAAAAAGUUUACUAAAUGGUUAUUGUUCCAUAAUUGUACAUAUGUAUGCUCGAAGUAUAUAUAGAAUCAGUACAUGAUACAUAACAUGCGACAAAUAAAAGGGGGGGGUAGUAAUAACAGGAAACUAAAUUAAACUAAGGCUUGUAUGGAUGUAAACUUCAAUAAAACUGGAAGUUACAUAAGGGGGACAGGAAAAUAAGAAUAUAUUGCAUCACUUACAACAACCUUUAAAUUGACCAGUGAUUUUUUUAUUCAUUACUGACCAGCAACACCGAGAUAAUCCAACGAUUUUUUAAGGGUCCGUAUUAAGUGUGGACCUAAAUGUUCUUUAUCUUUGAAUAUAACGC